CUACGGGCCGCUGCAGUGGGGAAUAUUGCACAAUGGGCGCAAGCCUGAUGCAGCAACGCCGCGUGAACGAAGAAGGUUUUCGGAUCGUAAAGUUCUUUUCUUGGGGAAGAAACCAUGACGGUACCCAAGGAAUAAGCACCGGCUAACUACGUGCCAGCAGCCGCGGUAAUACGUAGGGUGCAAGCGUUAUCCGGAAUCACUGGGCGUAAAGGGUGCGUAGGCGGUUUUACAAGUCAGAAGUGAAAGGCAAUGGCUCAACCAUUGUAAGCUUUUGAAACUGUAAGACUUGAAUGCAGGAGAGGUAAGUGGAAUUCCUAGUGUAGCGGUGAAAUGCGUAGAUAUUAGGAGGAACACCAGUGGCGAAGGCGACUUACUGGACUGUUAUUGACGCUGAGGCACGAAAGCGUGGGGAGCGAACAGGAUUAGAUACCCCGGUAGUC
rnacentral:rRNA from 1 species